rnacentral:pre_miRNA from 1 species
AGCAUGAUUGCUGGGUCAUAUGGUAAGAGUAUGUCGAAUUUUGUAAGAAACUUCUAAACUGUCUUCCAAAGUGGCUCUACCAUUUUUCAUUCCCACCAGCAAU